GACGGGGCCGCACAAGCGGUGGAUGAUGUGGUUUAAUUCGAUGCAACGCGAAAACCUUACCCACCCUUGACAUGUCCGGAACCCGAAGAGAUUUGGGAGUGCUCGCAAGAGAACCGGAACACAGGUGCUGCAUGGCUGUCGUCAGCUCGUGUCGUGAGAUGUUGGGUUAAGUCCCGCAACGAGCGCAACCCUUGUCAUUAGUUGCCAUCAUUUGGUUGGGCACUCUAAUGAGACUGCCGGUGACAAACCGGAGGAAGGUGGGGAUGACGUCAAGUCCUCAUGGCCCUUAUGGGUAGGGCUUCACACGUCAUACAAUGGUCGGUACAGAGGGUUGCCAACCCGCGAGGGGGAGCUAAUCCCACAAAGCCGAUCGUAGUCCGGAUCGCAGUCUGCAACUCGACUGCGUGAAGUCGGAAUCGCUAGUAAUCGUGGAUCAGCAUGUCACGGUGAAUACGUUCCCGGGUCUU
rnacentral:rRNA from 1 species